rnacentral:lncRNA from 10 species
CAGUCAGAUUCCCUCACUAAUGCAAUUGCAGAUUCCUACAUUUCUUCCUGAAGGUGGCAGUAUUUUAGUGACAAAAACUGACAACAAGCUGAGGAACUGUACCAGAGCUCUCGGAGAUCAACAAAGGUGCCGCUUUUGAAUGUGAAAGUUUUUUCAAGACUUUUCUAUUUCUUGGUUUGAAUCGUGUGCCUGUAGGGACACAUGCUACCUGCUUACUGGACAGUGACUACUUAGGAUAAGGACUCAGAAUGAUUAGUGGCAGAGGAAUCAUCUAAGAAAACUGAGAAGACUCUGCCAGAGUGAUGGGAAGAAAACUAGAUGAGAAAGCACCAUUCUGGAAGACAUGCUCCCAUGAACCAUGGAGAGAAGAGGAGAGGGAAGAAGUUAUUUGUGAUGUCAUUUGCCUGUGUCAUGGCCUGCCUUCCCUAGAUAUUGUCCUAAUGUGAGCAUCACACCUAAGGUACUGAAGUAGAGUUCUGGCUGUUCCUUACGGACAUCUCUGGUGCUACCGUGUGAAAAAGGACAUGUUUGCUUCCCCUUCUGCCAUAAUUGUAAGUUUCCUGAGGCCUCCCCAGCCAUGCAGAACUGUG